UACGGGGGGGGCUAGCGUUGUUCGGAAUUACUGGGCGUAGAGGGCGCGUAGGCGGCCUACUAAGUCGGACGUGAAAUCCCUCGGCUCAACCGGGGAACUGCGUCCGAUACUGGUGGGCUCGAAUCCGGGAGAGGGAUGUGGAAUUCCAGGUGUAGCGGUGAAAUGCGUAGAUAUCUGGAGGAACACCGGUGGCGAAGGCGGCAUCCUGGACCGGUAUUGACGCUGAUGCGCGAAAGCCAGGGGAGCAAACGGG
rnacentral:rRNA from 1 species